GGCGACGGCCGUUGCGAUCCAGAACGGUCUGGGCAUCAACCACGGCGCUGCAUUCGAUUUGCAGGCGGUCUGCUCGGGCUUCAUUUUCGCGCUGGCGGCUGGCGACAAUUUUCUGCGAAGCGGUGCGGUCAAGCGGGGAUUGGGGGUCUUUCUCGCCCAUCCUGGACUGGAACGACCGUGGAACCUGCGUGCUCUUCGGCGACGGCGCGGGCGCAGUGGUGCUUGAGGCUCAGCCGCAGGCGGGAACCUCCG
rnacentral:misc_RNA from 1 species